UGAUGGGAAACAAACCCCAGUCCUCUAGAAGAGCAGCAAGUGUUCUUAACCCAUAUCCAGCCCAUGCAGUCAGCUGUAUAUGUUGCCAUUUGUUUUGAAAAGGGAAAACUACUGAAAGUUCUUAUGUUAAUAUGUUGUUCUUAGUGCGCUUUAUGUUUGUUUGUUGAGACAGAGACUCUUUAUGUAGUCCUGUCUAUCCUGGAACUCACAGAGAUCCUCCUGCCUCUGCCUCCCAAGAAGUAGAUUUAAAGGCUAUGCCUGGCCAAGUCUCAUCUUUUUUUUUUUUUUUUUUUUGGUUCUUUUUUUCGGAGCUGGGGACCGAACCCAGGGCCUUGCGCUUCCUAGAAACUAAUAGCAACUCCUAAAAGGCCAGAUUUAUAUCAAGUAUUGGGUGUGCUUUGGCAAGUGGCUUGUGAAAUUAAGUUUCUGCACAUGGAGCCUUGGUCGUCAUUUAGUGUGCAUGCCGAAAAUGGGCACUUGGAAAAGUCAAAGCACUCGGAAUCAUUAAAUUUACUGAAACAAAACCUAUAUCUUGUUCGAAUGACUCCUCGUAGGACAUUAUUUACAGAAAACCUAAGUCCUUUGAACUAUGAUAUGUUUUUCCACUUGGUAAAGCACUGCUUUGGGAAACGCAAUGCCCCAAUAAUACACCAUUUACGUUCCCUGAGUACGGUUGACCCCAUUAAUAUACUAAGGCAGAUAAGGAAAAGACCUGGAGACACGGCUGCUAAAAUGUAUCCUCACGACUUCAAAAGACUUUUUGAAACUAUAGAACGUUCAGAAGACUCUGUCUUUAAAUGGAUCUAUGACUACUGCUCGGACGACAGUGAGCUCUAGGGAAAACGUCUACAAGCCAUGAAUGAGCUGUUUGUCUAUUAAUUUUGAAAUUAUGUGAUGAAUGAAAACUGAAUUUCAAGAUGUUCAUAUCCUUUUAGCAGAAGAGAAACUAUCCUUGUUUGGCACAGAUGAAGCGAAUAAUUUCCUCUUAAGUUGAUACCUUUGAUACACAGGAAAAACCAUGGCUGCAGGUUUAUUCAAAGUUAAAUAAAACAAAAACUUGUCAGUUCAGUAAGAUCAAAUGUGCUUUGUUUUAAAUUACUUCUGCUGUAGAUCAGUGGUAGAACAUGAGCCUAGGUGUCCAAGGUUCUGGUUUUGCUUU
rnacentral:lncRNA from 1 species